rnacentral:rRNA from 1 species
UAUGUAGGUGGCAAGCGUUGUCCGGAUUUAUUGGGCGUAAAGCGAGCGCAGGCGGAAAGAUAAGUCUGAUGUGAAAGCCCCCGGCUUAACCGAGGAAUUGCAUCGGAAACUGUGUUUCUUGAGUGCAGAAGAGGAGAGUGGAACUCCAUGUGUAGCGGUGGAAUGCGUAGAUAUAUGGAAGAACACCAGUGGCGAAGGCGACUUACUGGACUGUAACUGACGCUGAGGCAUGAGAGCAUGGGGAGCAAACAGG